rnacentral:rRNA from 1 species
CCUACGGGAGGCAGCAGUGAGGAAUAUUGGUCAAUGGGCGCGAGCCUGAACCAGCCAAGUCGCGUGAAGGAUGACUGCCCUACGGGUUGUAAACUUCUUUUAUAAAGGAAUAAAGUGAGGCACGUGUGCCUUUUUGUAUGUACUUUAUGAAUAAGGAUCGGCUAACUCCGUGCCAGCAGCCGCGGUAAUACGGAGGAUCCGAGCGUUAUCCGGAUUUAUUGGGUUUAAAGGGAGCGUAGAUGGGUUGUUAAGUCAGUUGUGAAAGUUUGCGGCUCAACCGUAAAAUUGCCAUUGAUACUGGCAGGCUAGAGUACAGUUGAGGUAGGCGGAAUUCGUGGUGUAGCGGUGAAAUGCUUAGAUAUCACGAAGAACUCCGAUUGCGAAGGCAGCUUACUAAACUGCCACUGACAUUGAUGCUCGAAAGUGUGGGUAUCAAACAGGAUUAGAUACCCUAGUAGUC